UACAGGAUAUAGUGCGGGAGUUCGGAUAAAGUAAAGAAGUCAUGCUUAUGUAAUAGAUAGCAAUGGACAUGAUCAAAUUGUAAUGUAAAAGUACAGUAUAGUUAUGUAAUGAGUUUUAUGGAUGUUAGUAUGUGCUUGACCAUAGAUUGUUGUAUCCCUUUUAUACAUGAUCUUAGAGAUUUUGCUGAUGUUUAUGUAAACCAACUCAACAGAUGUAUGUUACCCAUUGAGGGCACAGAUGAGAUCCCACAAAGGGAUCAAAGUUAUG
rnacentral:lncRNA from 1 species